UUUUUUUUUUUUUUUUUUUUUAGGGUGGCAUUUCUAACAGGUGAUCAGGUUGAGCCUCUUUGAAAGUGACCUGUGACACUGAGGAAGAGAGGGCCAGGCCUGCAGGAACUUAAUACUGCUGGUGGAAGAGUGCUUCUGGAGGAGCCCAGGCAAAUGUCCUGAGGCAGGAGCACAUUAACACUUCAGCAAGGAGACCAGUGUAGUGGGAAGGGAGUGAAGGGAGAGAAGAUGGAAGAGGUAAAGGGGGGAAAUUUCGCAUCAGGUCCUUGUGGGCAGCUGUGAGGACUUUGGUUCUUAACAUGUGACUACAACAGGGCUACAGCAAGGUUCUGAGCAGAGGCCUUGACAGGGUCCAGCCUGACUUCUCAAAGUCUCAAGUGGGUUUUCCUUGAUGACUCUGGCACAUCCUGUCACCUCCUGAAUCAGAUGCUUCUACUGCACAUUUCAGAAUCUUCUUAACCCCACCUCUUUAUGUAGCCAAGGCUGCAGUUACUAGUGCCCUGCAGACUUGGACCUCCUUUGUCCCUGGAAAACUGGGCUGUACCUUGCCUUAAGCGACAUUGAAUACCUCUUGCUUUCUGCCCAGGGAUUCCUUUAAGGCUAACCCAGGACAUCUUCCAAAUCACUUGAAAUUCAUGCAUUCUUGAUCCAGAUGUACAGGGAAGUUAACACCACCUUGAGCAUGUCUGGCAAUGAGUAAAUGCUCCCCCUUACAUUCCCACCCCCUCUUCCAAGGAAACAAUUCUUAGAUGCAUUUCAUAAGGCUCCUGGUAAAGUCUUUAGCACUGGUCCAGCUCAAUGAUGUAUCUUUGUAUUGGCUUCCCUCUUUUCCUAUUUGAUUUCUCCAUCCUGCACCCUUGCUCCCUGGGAUAUUUUUGAAUCAACUGACUUCACACGAACUUCCAUCUUUGGCUCUGCUUUAGGAGAAAUUCAGCCUUCAACCCCUCUUUCCACUUACAAAUCUAUUCCUCCAGAGUGGAGCCCCCUGGAACAUGGUACCUGCCUGGUAUCUCAUGAAUUGUCACGCUCACCUGGCCUUGACUGACAGCCAAUUCUUCCCUGGCUGCCCUCCAGCUCCUUCUAGUUCCCAGUCACCUUCUGCUGCUUCUUGGCCUCCUCUGUUCCCCACCACCUCUGCAGAAGAUGAACCUGGAAAGCAGGUGUCCAACAGAUGGUGAAAGGUCUCGGAUGUCAUGCCCCAAAUUUAUAGGCAGAAGCGAUCCAGUGGAUGUUUUUAAUCUGGGGAGAAAUGUGAUUGUAUUUGAGAAAAAUAACUGAGGCCAGUAUAGUGGGUAGAUGGGAAGAAGAAAGUCAGGAGCAAUGACAAUGAGGAACAAAGAAAGUAGAGGAACAUCCACUCCCAUGAUGGCCAUUUUCUCCCCACAACUGUCAUCUGGCCACACCACUAGGCAUAGGUGUGGAGCCAGGACCAAGGGGAACAGUAGGUCCUCCUGUGGAGGUUGGGCUGCCCUGUCUUGGUGUUGGCAUGGUAGAUGCAGUGGAAAGAUCGACAGAUGGGGGCACUGGUGAUGGGAGGAAUGGGGUUGAAAAGAUGGGUGAUGGGACCCCAACUGGAUGGGAAGGUAAAGAAGUCAGGAAGCAGACCUGCUGGUCUAAAAGAAUCAAGACAGUCGAACAGUGAUGCAAUUGAGAUGGAGCAAGGAGGUAGAACAUUAAAACAUCCAUCUUACUCCUUUAUUACAAUUCUAAGUGGAAAGCUUGGUACGGAAAACAAAGGUGGCAAUCACUCAAAUGAGGCUUGGGGAUUAUCUGUGGAUUCCAAGGAUAAUAGGCAACAAAAUUCAACCCUGCUUAACUUACAGGAACUAACGAUCUCAUUUCAAAGUCUAAAGUGAAACAGCAUAAAUAUUAAUGUGAAGCCACGGGCACAGGGCCAGAAAAACAAGGCCGAGUCACAGAUUUAGAUUUACUUAGAAUACUGUUCACUGUGGUCAGAAGCUAAUCACGCAGCAUUUAUAAGUAUUGAUAAGACUCAAAAACAUAAGAAAAUUAGCAAUAUAUGUAUAUAUAUUUUGGCAUUUUGGCUUUUAGGGCCACACCCAUGGCAUAUGGAGAUUCCCAGGGUAAGUGCUAAAGGCCAAGGCGGGAAUGUGGUCUAGAAACUAUAAAGGAGGUUUUUGCUUGUUUGUUUGUUUUGUUCUUUCACUUGUAUCUAAUUAUAAUGGAUGAACAUGAACACUUAGCUAAACUGCAUUUAUCACCUUGAAAAAAUAUCCAGAAAAAAAAAAAUAUAUCAGGGCUUAAAAGACUAUACAUCAAUGUAAGUAUUAAAAAAAAAAAAAAAAAAAAAA
rnacentral:lncRNA from 1 species